rnacentral:rRNA from 1 species
UACGUAGGUGGCAAGCGUUAUCCGGAAUUAUUGGGCGUAAAGAGCGCGCAGGUGGUUAAUUAAGUCUGGAGUGAAAGCCCACGGCUUAACCGUGGAGGGUCAUUGGAAACUGGUUGACUUGAGUGCAGAAGAGGGAAGUGGAAUUCCAUGUGUAGCGGUGAAAUGCGUAGAGAUAUGGAGGAACACCAGUGGCGAAGGCGGCUUCCUGGUCUGCAACUGACACUGAGGCGCGAAAGCGUGGGGAGCAAACAGG